UACGGAGGAGUCCGAGCGUUAUCCAGAUUUAUUGGGUUUAAAAGGGUGCGCAGGCGGGAGAUUAAGUCGGCGGUGAAAUUUUGCAGCUCAACUGUAAAAGUGCCUUCGAAACUGGUUUCCUUGAAUGUGGUAGAGGUAGGCGGAAUGUGUUGUGUAGCGGUGAAAUGCUUAGAUAUAACACAGAACACCGAUUGCGAAGGCAGCUUACUAUUCCAUUAUUGACGCUGAUGCACGAAAGCGUGGGGAGCAAACAGGGAUUAGAUACCCUGGUA
rnacentral:rRNA from 1 species